UUCUUUCCCAGGUCCAUGUGACCAGGAGUCCCUCUUGUCCGCUUCAGAUAUUCCCCCUUCCCCACUUCCCCAUGGUGUUCUCGCUUUUCCCAGGUCCAUGUGUCCAGGAGUUAAUCUGUGUCCCCUCAGAUAUUCUCCCUUCCCCACUUUCCCAAGGUCUGCCUUUGUAACCAGUAUCUACUUCUUUCCCAGGUCCAUGUGACCAGGAGUCCCUCUUGUCCGCUUCAGAUAUUCCCCCUUCCCCACUUCCCCAUGGUGUUCUCGCUUUUCCCAGGUCCAUGUGUCCAGGAGUCAAUCUGUGUCCCCUCAGAUAUUCUCCCUUCCCCACUUUCCCAAGGUCUGCCUUUGUAACCAGUAUCUACUUCUUUCCCAGGUCCAUGUGACCAGGAGUCCCUCUUGUCCGCUUCAGAUAUUCCCCCUUCCCCACUUCCCCAUGGUGUUCUCGCUUUUCCCAGGUCCAUGUGUCCAGGAAUCCAUCCGUGGGCCCCCGGAUGUCUCCCCUUCCUCACUUUCCUUAGGAUAUCUUCCAAUCUCAGCCUUCCCCAGGUUAUGUAUCCCGAGGUCAGCUCAGCCACCCUCCGUGAUCUAGCCAGAUGAGAACGAGGCCUUGUUUAGCUGGUCUACGGUAGAGACUGUCCAGGUGGGUGGAAUUACAGGAGGGGACACGCAGAAAUCUGCGUCCUGUAAUUACACGCACCAAGAUAGUCUAGAUCGUAGAUCAGCUAGACUCAGCCAAGCCACCGUCCAGUUCGGC